UACGUAGGUGGCAAGCGUUGUCCGGAUUUACUGGGCGUAAAGGGCGUGCAGGCGGUUUGUUAAGUGCAGGGUGAAAGCUCCCGGCUCAACUGGGAGAGGUCCUUGCAUACUGGCAAACUCGAGGGAGGCAGAGGAAAGUGGAAUUCCCGGUGUAGUGGUGAUAUGCGUAGAUAUCGGGGGGAACACCUGUGGCGAAGGCGGCUUUCUGGGCCUUACCUGACGCUGAGACGCGAAAGCGUGGGGAGCGAACCGG
rnacentral:rRNA from 1 species